rnacentral:rRNA from 1 species
GCGGCCCCGCACAAGCAGCGGAGCGUGUGGUUUAAUUCGAUGCUACACGAAGAACCUUACCAGGGUUUUGACAUACAAGUAGUAGGGAAAGGAAACUGGACCGACCCUUCGGGGAGCUUGAACAGGUGCUGCAUGGCUGUCGUCAGCUCGUGUCGUGAGAUGUUCGGUUAAGUCCGCUAACGAGCGCAACCCUCGCUGUGUGUUACAAGUGUCACACGGAACUGCCGGUCAUAAACCGGAGGAAGGUGGGGAUGACGUCAAGUCAGCAUGGCCUUUAUAUCCUGGGCUACACACACGCUACAAUGGGAAGGGACAAUAGGUUGCGAAACCGCGAGGUGGAGCCAAUCCAGCAAAACUUCCCUCAGUUCAGAUUGCAGGCUGCAACUCGCCUGCAUGAAGUUGGAGUUGCUAGUAAACGCAGGUCAGCCAUACUGCGUUGAAUACGUUCCCGGGGCUU